rnacentral:rRNA from 1 species
UGAGGCGUGGCUUCCGGAGCUAACGCGUUAAAUCGACCGCCUGGGGANNNCGGCCGCAAGGUUAAAACUCAAAUGAAUUGACGGGGGCCCGCACAAGCGGUGGAGCNNNUGGUUUAAUUCGAUGCAACGCGAAGAACCUUACCUGGUCUUGACAUCCACAGAACUUGCCAGAGAUGGCUUGGUGCCUUCGGGAACUGUGAGACAGGUGCUGCAUGGCUGUCGUCAGCUCGUGUUGUGAAAUGUUGGGUUAAGUCCCGCAACGAGCGCAACCCUUAUCCUUUGUUGCCAGCGGUUCGGCCGGGAACUCAAAGGAGACUGCCAGUGAUAAACUGGAGGAAGGUGGGGAUGACGUCAAGUCAUCAUGGCCCUUACGACCAGGGCUACACACGUGCUACAAUGGCAUAUACAAAGAGAAGCGACCUCGCGAGAGCAAGCGGACCUCAUAAAGUAUGUCGUAGUCCGGAUUGGAGUCUGCAACUCGACUCCAUGAAGUCGGAAUCGCUAGUAAUCGUAGAUCAGAAUGCNNNNGUGAAUACGUNNNNNNNCCUUGUACACANNNCCCGUCACACCAUGGGAGUGGGUUGCAAAAGAAGUAGGUAGCUUAACCUUCGGGAGGGCNNNNACCACUUUGUGAUUCAUGACUGGGGUGAAGUCGUAACAA